GCCUGGGUGGCUCAGUCGGUUGAGCGUCCGACUUCAGCUCAGGUCACGAUCUCGCGGUUCGUGAGUUCGAGCCCCGCGUCGGGCU
rfam:Felis catus isolate Cinnamon breed Abyssinian chromosome E1, whole genome shotgun sequence.